AAAUGAAGAGCUUGCAGGAGCGUAGAGAGCGGUAUGUUACUUCUCCUUUUUCCAUAGGAUGACUGUGAAUUAGCAUUGGUCAUUCCUAGAUACAUGUCCUUGCAAAUUUUCAUUUGAUGAUGCUUCUACUUUUUCCAUAGGAUGACUGUGAAUCAGUAUUGGUCAUUCCUAAAUACAUGUUCUUGCAGACGUUCAUUUGAUCAUUGGUCCGACUUAUAGUAACUGAGGUUGCCAGUAUGCAACAAUUAGAAUCUUAGUUACAUCAGAUUUCAGGGUCUUGCAACUCUAACAAACAUUUUUUUUGAUAAGGACAACUCUAACAAACAUUGGAAAGCUGUAGACAUCUAUGCAAUGACUAUUUUCUCGUCCCUUCUCCUGAUCAUCCUUGAAUCUAUUAUCCCAUUCCAAAAGGUUUUAAUGUAGUUUCUGUUGAUUAUAUUGUUAACAAUAACUUGAGAAUGGGAUAGUUAAAAUGGAUUUCAUUUCAUAGAGGGAACACUGAUGUAGUCUGUUUUGACAACUUGAUUAAAUAAAAAAGGACAUAGAGGAAACUCUGUACUCUUUCCUGAACAAGUCAUAUAGCCUCAUCCUGGCACGUGGAGUUGAUUCAUUAAUUUUGUUGUGUCAUUUCCAUUCUUUUGUUGGUAUUUAGAUGAUGAGUGAUAUAUCCGCAGGAGGUGGUUGUGCUAAUAAUAAAGAGCCAAUGGCUGAUGCCCGUAAAAUUGUUCCCAAGCCUUUUGCUGUAGAGCGUUCUAGAUAGC
rnacentral:lncRNA from 1 species